GGUGGAGGGAAGCUCAUAGGUGGGGCUAUGAGAUGAACAGGUUUAGCCAUUCUACCCGUCUUUGGGAAGGUGUGAGAUAAGGACCCUUCUUGAGGUUCAGGGAGGUGAGUUCUCAGAGCGGGAGAAAAGAUAGGGCUUUCCUAAACAGGAUUCCUCUCAAGGCACC
rnacentral:RNase_P_RNA from 1 species